AGACCUCGUCCGCAAUAGUAAAAUCGGAUUUUCUGCGGCUAAGUAAAGUUUUCAAUAUAAAAACAAAAGGUAAAUUGUGUGCUAAGCAUCUCUAGGACUCCACACUUCAGAGGAUACACCGAUAUUCAUCUGCGAACAGUUGACUACGAAGGGUGCUCGCCUGUUCUACCUGGCCAGGGAUCUAGCCAAGUCCGCUCAGUACAAGUUUUGUUGGACCGCAAACGGCAAGGUCUAUGUUAGAAAAACGGAAACCUCUCAAGUACACCAGCUGCUGCUCAAGGAAUGACUAUCUUGUGGGAAUUUAAC
rnacentral:misc_RNA from 1 species